rnacentral:lncRNA from 1 species
CGGCCGCGCCUUGUGAGCGCUAAGCCGGGAGGAGGGCGCAGGCAGGGCGCACAGCUCUGAGCGCGCCCCUACCCGGCUCGGGCCCGCAGCAGCCCCGACUGUCCGAGAGCCUCUCCGCAAGCAAGGCUCUGCGCCGCCCUCUGAGCCCACCUCCUGGCCACAACGCCGCCUGCGCUUCUCCAGCCCAGGCCGGAAGCCCUACGCUGCCUCCUGAAGCCGGACUUUCUGGAAGCCCAUCUCCGUAUGCUCACCAGCCCACCCUCCUACGCUGGUCAGAGUGAGAUUGCUAACCUCAAGACCCCAUUCAAUGCCAGCUUUCAACUGCUGCUGAAGACCAAUGUAGGUCCUGGAUUAGAAGAACCGCAGAGUAUCCCUAAGGUCUCAUCUUCAUCUGUGUGUGUUCACAGAAGGUACAGUGUGCGAGAACACACUUAGGGAAAUUUUAGGAACGCUAACCACAGUCCUGGAGGAAUAAAGAUGUGGCGAAGGAAUGGAUCGAGUGCAUGAACACAUACACCUUGUUGUCCAGAUGCAGACAAAAGCUACCAUGUCCGCUUGGAGUGACACCCAGACAUGCACAGAGAUGUACAGGAAGCCAAGGAGAGUGGGAUCAAUCAGAGUACAGUACAAGUACAGAGUACAGUGCAAGAUGCCCAGGGACCCUGGAGAAAAACCUUUGUUGACUCUUCUGUAUGGAAAGUUUCUGAAGAAAGGGCCAAGGAAUGAUCUGCCCCGGAGGCUGCCUUUAGGCUCCCAUACCUGCUCUGUUGGAGACACCCAGAAGAGGCCAGUACGCCAAAGACUUUUUGGUUUGGUUAUUUCUGUUGCUUGUUGUCUUUUUUCAUCCUUUGCCUGGGAAGUUGUGCUCUGGAAGAGGGCUUGAGUAGACAGCACAGGCCUCCAGUAGAUAACAAGAGAUUCUCAAUCUCCAAUGAGGACAUUCCGCUCUAAGGAAGCUUCCAGAUAGGGGAAAGCCCUGUUUUGUCCCCCUUUCUCCUCUGAGAUCUGAAAAAAAUAGAAAGAAAAAAAAAGAAAAAGAAAAAGAAAACAAAUCUAAAAACUAUAGCCCAAUCCCAUAUACAUUAAAUAAAUCCACAAGGAAUACGCUAGACCAAGCUAAAUUAUGUAUUUAACUCAUUUUCUUUUGUGAGAUACUGAGAAGUCUUCAACUUCCUCUAUUCCAGGCAGGGAUUGAGGUCCUGGCCUGGCAGAGAUUCUACCACCAGGGUUUCCCACAGUGGUUCUGGGGCUAGGCUUAAGGUGUAAUGACUUGUUUUCUCUGUCACCUCUUCUGGGGAACUGGGGAACUGUCCCAGACAAUGGCUGCCCCAGUUCCCUCUAGAAGAGACAGCCCCCCCCCCAGAACCCGUUGCCCUCCAACCUCACCUCGUUUUCCAAUGUGCUCUCUUGAGCUCAUUCUCAGAGCUCUUAAAGUAGUAGGUGUGAGUCUUGUACCAUUUCUUUAAAAGAAACGACUAAGGGAAGGGAGGGAGGGAAGGAGGGAGGGAAGGGGUGGGAAGGAGAGCUACCUCCUGGGCUAACAGGUCCAGGAACCACUCUGUAAGGAGCAAAAGAGAGCCUGUGUUGUAAAGCAGAAGUGAUCCCCCCGGACGUUGCUGCAGGGCGCCUUGCAACAGAUGUAACUGUCCACUGAAGAGACAGAGGGUGGGCAUGGGGAAGAUUUUUUUCCCACCCUUUUGUGAACAACUCUUACACUUUUCCAAGACACAUUUAGUUCCUGGACAUUUUUGUGAAUUUGUUCUCGAUUGUGUUUUGAACAAUAAACUGUGAGAAUCAA